rnacentral:rRNA from 1 species
AGAGUUUGAUCAUGGCUCAGGACGAACGCUGGCGGCACGCUUAACACAUGCAAGUCGAACGAGAGAAGAGGAGCUUGCUUUUCUGAUCUAGUGGCGGACGGGUGAGUAACACGUGAGCAAUCUGCCUUUCAGAGGGGGAUACCGAUUGGAAACGAUCGUUAAUACCGCAUAACAUAAUUGAACCGCAUGAUUUGAUUAUCAAAGAUUUAUCGCUGAAAGAUGAGCUCGCGUCUGAUUAGCUAGUUGGUAAGGUAACGGCUUACCAAGGCGACGAUCAGUAGCCGGACUGAGAGGUUGAUCGGCCACAUUGGGACUGAGACACGGCCCAGACUCCUACGGGAGGCAGCAGUGGGGAAUAUUGCACAAUGGAGGAAACUCUGAUGCAGCGAUGCCGCGUGAGGGAAGAAGGUUUUAGGAUUGUAAACCUCUGUCUUCAGGGACGAAAAAAGACGGUACCUGAGGAGGAAGCUCCGGCUAACUACGUGCCAGCAGCCGCGGUAAUACGUAGGGAGCGAGCGUUGUCCGGAAUUACUGGGUGUAAAGGGAGCGUAGGCGGGAUCGCAAGUCAGAUGUGAAAACUAUGGGCUUAACCCAUAAACUGCAUUUGAAACUGUGGUUCUUGAGUGAAGUAGAGGUAAGCGGAAUUCCUAGUGUAGCGGUGAAAUGCGUAGAUAUUAGGAGGAACAUCAGUGGCGAAGGCGGCUUACUGGGCUUUAACUGACGCUGAGGCUCGAAAGCGUGGGGAGCAAACAGGAUUAGAUACCCUGGUAGUCCACGCCGUAAACGAUGAUUACUAGGUGUGGGGGGACUGACCCCUUCCGUGCCGCAGCAAACGCAAUAAGUAAUCCACCUGGGGAGUACGACCGCAAGGUUGAAACUCAAAGGAAUUGACGGGGGCCCGCACAAGCAGUGGAGUAUGUGGAUUAAUUCGAAGCAACGCGAAGAACCUUACCAGGUCUUGACAUCGUAUGCAUAGCUCAGAGAUGAGUGAAAUCUCUUCGGAGACAUAUAGACAGGUGGUGCAUGGUUGUCGUCAGCUCGUGUCGUGAGAUGUUGGGUUAAGUCCCGCAACGAGCGCAACCCUUACUGUUAGUUGCUACGCAAGAGCACUCUAGCAGGACUGCCGUUGACAAAACGGAGGAAGGUGGGGAUGACGUCAAAUCAUCAUGCCCCCUAUGACCUGGGCCUCACACGUACUAUAAUGGCUGUCAACAGAGGGAAGCAAAGCCGCGAGGUGGAGCGAACCCCUAAAAGCAGUCUUAGUUCGGAUUGUAGGCUGCAACCCGCCUACAUGAAGUCGGAAUUGCUAGUAAUCGCAGAUCAGCAUGCUGCGGUGAAUACGUUCCCGGGCCUUGUACACACCGCCCGUCACGCCAUGGGAGUCGGUAACACCCGAAGCCUGUAGUCUAACCGCAAGGAGGACGCAGUCGAAGGUGGGAUUGAUGACUGGGGUGAAGUCGUAACAAGGUA